GAUGAACGCUGGCGGCGUGCUUAACACAUGCAAGUUGAACGAAGUGGCGGAUGGGUGAGUAACACGUGAGGAACCUGCCUUUCACCGGGGAAUAACACUGGGAAACACGUGCUAAUACCACAGAGUGAACGAUGGCGUCGGGAUGGAUUAGCUAGUAGGUGCGGUAACGGCUCACCUAUGUGAUGAUCAGGAGACGUACUGAAGUGUGAUAGGCCGCAUUGUGACUGAGACCGCGGCCAGACGCAUUCUGGAGGCAGCAGUGGGGAAUAUUGGGCAAUGGCGCAAGCCUUACCGAGCAACGCCGCGUUAAGGAACACUGUCUGUGGAUUGUAAGCUUUGUUAGACAGGUACGCGGUACCUGUAGAAUAAGCCACGGCUAACUACGUGCCAGCAGCCGCGGUAAUAC
rnacentral:rRNA from 1 species